rnacentral:rRNA from 1 species
GGAUCAAUAUUUCGGUCAUGCCGUUGGUAUGCACUGUUAUCAUUGAUUUCUCACCUUCUAAAGAACCGUAAUGCCAUUAAUUUGGUGUUACGGGGAAUUAGGACUGUUACCUUGAAAAAAUUAGAGUGUUCAAAGCAGGCAUAUGCUCGAAUACAUUAGCAUGGAAUAAUAGAAUAGGAC